GAUAACUUGUGUGUCGUAUUUACUUACGUGCUUCGGCCGCUCGGUACAUUUGUGCGCGAGUUUAGUUUUCCAUUCAAGAUACGACGAAAGAAGAUCGAAGAUCUUGCAAGCCCGGGUGGUUAGGCUGUGACUGAGGCUAUAUUUUGGUUGAGCGAUAUUGCACCAGUCCCGGCCUAUCCAAACGGGCUCGGCCUUCGAAGACCGCUACGCUCAGCAUCCAAGGCGCGCGAUCCCGUUACCCGGCCGGUCGUUCACAGCGGUGGCCACGCUUAGGACGUGAUUCGGUGUAAACGUUUGUGCUUUUAUCAAAUUGCACCAAUCCCGGCCUGCAUGCGGUCCCCGUUCAGUGUUGUGCUAGAUCAAGUUUGCACGUGGCAUUUGUAACAAAGGUAACUUACUUUGUGUCCAACUGUUCCCGAAUUAAAGGUGUCUUGACUGAAAGAUAAUGCCGUAGAAUCUGCUGUGGUGAAAGGAGAUUCGAGGAAAUUUGUGAUAACUUUUGUGCAACAUUUGGUUAGCCAGUUAAUCGAAGUAGGUAGAUCGAGCACAGACCGGUUUCCACCGUAAAUUGUAGCAUAUAACUUGAUAUAGCUAAUAACUUUGGCAAAUUGAAGGACGUAAAUCCAAAAUUCAAUAACUUAAAACAGCUGAUUUCUUUGUGUUUUCGCUGAAUAAAACAUUCAAUGAAUGCGCACAGAGUGCGAUCAAUCUGUAUUCAAUGAUGGGUUUAUCAAAUUCUUAAGUGUAUUGUCGCAUGUAGUUAGUAUACAUUAUUAUAAUAUCUACAAGGCAUCGUGAAUCGAGCGGAAAGAUGAUUCACCGCUGGCUAAGAGUCUUAACCGUUAUGAUUUAAAUUACUACAGCUGUCAUGGCACUCACGAAUUGCGGUACCUACCUAUCUACCUUCGAGGAUCGCCGCCAAACGGAUAAAAGUGAAGAAUUGACGGUUGGUUGGUUCUAUGUCAAGGUUAUGAGCCCCUGCGUAGUGCGUACAACUGCGUUGCAUUUGCUUGGAGGGUUACAAUUUACCCGUUUAGACGCCAGAAUGUACUAGUUUUCAUACUAUUGUUGUGAUGGCAUUGAAGAAGAUUUGGUAGGGGUAUUAUAAAUAUUUGUAUGGUAGCUGCCAGAUUUUCGGACAAUGAAACACUACGAAACAUACUUAUAAUCUGGUUGAACAAUUAUAUAGUU